AUACUUACCUGGCAGGGGAGAUACCAUGAUCACGAAGGUGGUUUUCCCAGGGCGAGGCUUCUCCAUUGCACUCCGGAUGUGCUGACCCCUGCGAUUUCCCCAAAUGUGGGAAACUCGACUGCAUAAUUUGUGGUAGUGGGGGACUGCGUUCGCGCUUUCCCCUG
rnacentral:snRNA from 1 species